GUAGGGGGCUAGCGUUAUCCGGAAUUACUGGGCGUAAAGGGUGCGUAGGUGGUUUCUUAAGUCAGAGGUGAAAGGCUACGGCUCAACCGUAGUAAGCCUUUGAAACUGGGAAACUUGAGUGCAGGAGAGGAGAGUGGAAUUCCUAGUGUAGCGGUGAAAUGCGUAGAUAUUAGGAGGAACACCAGUGGCGAAGGCGGCUUACUGGACGGUAACUGACGUUGAGGCUCGAAAGCGUGGGGAGCAAACAGGAUUAGAUACCCUGGUAGUCCACGCGGUAAACGAUGAAUGCUAGGUGUCGGGGAGCAAAGCUCUUCGGUGCCGCCGCAAACGCAUUAAGCAUUCCACCUGGGGAGU
rnacentral:rRNA from 1 species